UACGAGGGGGGCGAGCGUUGUUCGGAAUUAUUGGGCGUAAAGGGUGCGUAGGCGGUUUGAUAAGUCUUGUGUGAAAUCUCUGGGCUCAACCCAGAGUCUGCAUAGGAAACUGUCGGGCUUGAGUAUGGGAGAGGUGCGUGGAAUUCCUGGUGUAGCGGUGAAAUGCGCAGAUAUCAGGAGGAACACCAAUGGCGAAGGCAGCUCGCUGGGACGGUACUGACGCUGAGACGCGAAAGCGUGGGGAGCAAACAGG
rnacentral:rRNA from 1 species